CUACGUGCCAGCAGCCGCGGUAAUACGUAGGUGGCAAGCGUUGUCCGGAAUUAUUGGGCGUAAAGCGCGCGCAGGCGGAUUGGUCAGUCUGUCUUAAAAGUUCGGGGCUUAACCCCGUGAUGGGAUGGAAACUGCCAAUCUAGAGUAUCGGAGAGGAAAGUGGAAUUCCUAGUGUAGCGGUGAAAUGCGUAGAUAUUAGGAAGAACACCGGUGGCGAAGGCGACAAACUGGACGAUAACUGACGUUGAGGCACGAAAGUGUGGGGAGCAAACAGGAUUAGAUACCCUGGUAGUCCACACCGUAAACGAUGGAUACUAGGUGUUGGCAAUGAAUAAUUGUCGGUGCCGGCGCUAACGCAAUAAGUAUCCCACCUGGGGAGUACGACCGCAAGGUUGAAACUCAAAGGAAUUGACGGGGGCCCGCACAAGCAGUGGAGUAUGUGGUUUAAUUCGAAGAUACGCGAAGAACCUUACCAAGGCU
rnacentral:rRNA from 1 species